AUUGAACGCUGGCGGCAUGCCUUGCACAUGCAAGUCGAACGGCAGCACGGGAGCAAUCCUGGUGGCGAGUGGCGAACGGGUGAGUAAAGUAUCGGAACGUGCCCAGUCGUGGGGGAUAACGUAGCGAAAGUUACGCUAAUACCGCAUACGAUCUAUGGAUGAAAGCGGGGGAUCGCAAGACCUCGCGCGAUUGGAGCGGCCGAUAUCAGAUUAGGUAGUUGGGGGGGUAAAGGCUCACCAAGCCGACGAUCUGUAGCUGGUCUGAGAGGACGACCAGCCACACUGGGACUGAGACACGACCCAGACUCCUACGGGAGGCAGCAGUGGGGAAUUUUGGACAAUGGGCGCAGGCCUGAUCCAGCCAUGCCGCGUGCAGGAUGAAGGCCUUCGGGUUGUAAACUGCUUUUGUACGGAACGAAAAGGUUUGACUUAAUACGUUGGACUCAUGACGGUACCGUAAGAAUAAGCACCGGCUAACUACGUGCCAGCAGCCGCGGUAA
rnacentral:rRNA from 1 species